GUGUGCCGCUCUCUGGCUCCGGGCUGGCGGCGCAGCCUUGGUAAUUAAUUUCCUUUGCUCGCUCUCCCGCUAGGCGGGGGGGUGCCCAGCCCCCACUUCCCCGUCACACCUGGCUGGAGCAGGAGACAAAGGCAGCAGCAGCGGCUGUUGGGUCGAAUACAGAUUAGCUGGCGAUUUACCAGCCAAGAUGCAGCUGGCCCAGGUUCGGCCAGGGAUGGCUGUGGAGUGAUGGUCGCAGGAGGCAGCCAGCUUUGCUUUGCAAGGUUGGAGGCAGGGAUGUCUGUGGCAACAGUGAGAGGGAGGAGAAGCGCAGCUGGAAAGCCAGACCAAUCCCCUUUCCUUUGCGCCGGGGGUGCUGUUUGAUCAGCAUUGCACUGUCGUGUCACAGGGGCUUGUCCCGCUCCCAGCCAGAUCCCACCAGGCCCCAGCUGGACCUGAGCAGCUGCCCAUGUCUGCUUCCAGGACUGGGAUGUUAUCACCUGGCCCUGCUUGCAUAUGGACCAGGACAGCAGCCUGCCCCCCCUUCCCCCCAAAGGUGUGCCAUGGAGCCUCGCAGCAGGAGUCCGGUGUGUGCAAAUCAGGCCCAAGCCACCGGGGCUGAGCAAAAGGCUGAAGCAGCAGAGUGGAGUUCAGGGUCAGCUGCUUCAGAGGUGAGAUGAACUUUGCUUCAGAGCAGCUCAAAGACGAAGGCCCAGCUUUGGUGUCAGCAUGAAGGUUCCAGAGCAUUUCCCUGCUGCUCAGACGGAUCCCUGAGGUGCCAGGAGCAGUGCCGCUGCCUGCAUGGUGCCAAUGGCUAGUGGGAGCAGGAUCUAUCUAAAGCGUAGUGUGAUAUAUUAUGUAUGUUCAGCAUGAACUAUCAUGGAUUGCUAACGUGGCACCUCAACUUAACAACCACAAGGUUCUUCAUGAUUGACAAGAGGGUGACUGUUGGUUAGAGGGGCUUCCUCCCCAGGGGGCAGUAUUGGAAAAGGGGUAGAGCCUCUAACUAUUGGCAGGAGGCAGAGCUCAACUGCACUCGUGUCAUGCCUCCGUGGGAAAGCAAGUCUUGCUGGAACCGAGUGGGGCCGCAGCAAGGUGUUCAGCCCCAGGACUGACAAAUCAAAGCAAUCCUUAUUGAAAGGACAACACAGGGAAAUAACUUGGUAGGAGCCUUACCCCAACACCUUGAGGUCAAGCUUCACUUCUUAGCUGGGCCUGUCUUAAGGCCUUGGUGCAUUUCCCUGAGCAAAGGAGCCUUUGCUGUUUUCUAACAUACCACUGAAUUAAGACAAUAAAUAGCAGGCCAUGCAGUAACUCUCGGGAUAGCCUAGCCCCUGACUGUUACCACCUCUGCUGAGUUGUAAAUUGACCCAAGCUAAGGCUGUCUUCUUUAAUCAAUGAAGACACACUGAUUCUAAUCAGCCUUCCACUGGGGUAAUUCAAAUGGAGGCAGUGUACUGACAUGACCACCUCCAUAGCAGUUUCUCCACAAAAGGAAUCUCCUCUGGCUCACGCAGUCAGAUGAGGCUCUGCCGUACUGAGCAAGGUGCCUCCACCCGACUUUCCAGAGGCAGGGGCUGACCCAUCUCUCCAAUGGGCACACCACCACCACACAGGGUGCUUCCCGCCCUGGAGGACACCCUGUCGAAGCCCACAGAGAACUUCUUCAGAAUUCUGCCUCUGGGGCAGGGCACCAAACAGCAGAGGGGGCUGGAGGAGGACAAAAAGAAACGAAUACUGAAUCGCUCUCCAUCCCGGGCACUUACCGACCCAGGCAGAUGAAGACAACGAUAGCACAGGCAGGCGUCUCCUAACUUCCGAGCAUUCUGCUUUGCAACCUCAAGACAGUUCUUUCAGGCGGCCUUUUCAGAUGCAACACCAACUGACUUCUCAGCCUCGGGGGCUUGCUACCGCAAGCUAUCAGAUGAGAGGCAAAACAAUCCAGGCUGCGUUCAGAGGACAAGGGUGAACAGCAGCCACAGCUAUGUUCAGGGUGCACCUUUCCACUCAGGUAUAUGAGGAGCUGGGGGCAAUUGCAGCCCAAGGUCCCACAGCAGACUACACGGGACCACAGGCAAGGUCGGGGGGAAGGGGGACACUGGUGCCUGGACAGGCCCAAUGGUCUGCU